rnacentral:rRNA from 1 species
AGCAGCCGCGGUAAUUCCAGCUCCAAUAGCGUAUAUUAAAGUUGUUGCAGUUAAAAAGCUCGUAGUUGAAUUUCGAGAUCAGUACGCUGGUCGUGCCUUCGGUAUGCACUGGUGUCACUGAUUUCUCCCUUCUGAAGAACCGUAAUGCCAUUCAGUUGGUGUGGCGGGGAAUCAGGAUUGUUACUUUGAAAAAUUAGAGUGUUUAAAGCAGGCUCGCGCUUGAAUACAUUAGCAUGGAAUAAUGAAAUAGGACUUUGAUCCUAUUUUGUUGGUUUCUAGGAUCGACGUAAUGAUUAAUAGGGAUAGUUGGGGGCAUUAGUAUUCAAUUGUCAGAGGUGAAAUUCUUGGAUUUAUUGAAGACUAACUACUGCGAAAGCAUUUGCCAAGGAUGUUUUCAUUAAUCAAGAACGAAGUUAGGGGAUCGAAGACGAUCAGAUACCGUCGUAGUCU